rnacentral:rRNA from 1 species
UUAAGUUAUUAAGGGCGCACGGUGGAUGCCUUGGCACUAGAAGCCGAUGAAGGACGUUACUAACGACGAUAUGCUUUGGGGAGCUGUAAGUAAGCUUUGAUCCAGAGAUUUCCGAAUGGGGAAACCCAGCAUGAGUUAUGUCAUGUUAUCGAUAUGUGAAUACAUAGCAUAUCAGAAGGCACACCCGGAGAACUGAAACAUCUUAGUACCCGGAGGAAGAGAAAGAAAAUUCGAUUCCCUUAGUAGCGGCGAGCGAAACGGGAAGAGCCCAAACCAACAAGCUUGCUUGUUGGGGUUGUAGGACACUCURUACGGAGUUACAAAGGACGACAUUAGACGAAUCAUCUGGAAAGAUGAAUCAAAGAAGGUAAUAAUCCUGUAGUCGAAAAUGUUGUCUCUCUUGAGUGGAUCCUGAGUACGACGGAGCACGUGAAAUUCCGUCGGAAUCUGGGAGGACCAUCUCCUAAGGCUAAAUACUCUCUAGUGACCGAUAGUGAACCAGUACCGUGAGGGAAAGGUGAAAAGCACCCCGGAAGGGGAGUGAAAUAGAACCUGAAACCGUGUGCUUACAAGUAGUCAGAGCCCGUUAAUGGGUGAUGGCGUGCCUUUUGUAGAAUGAACCGGCGAGUUACGAUUUGAUGCAAGGUUAAGCAGUAAAUGUGGAGCCGUAGCGAAAGCGAGUCUGAAUAGGGCGUUUAGUAUUUGGUCGUAGACCCGAAACCAGGUGAUCUACCCUUGGUCAGGUUGAAGUUCAGGUAACACUGAAUGGAGGACCGAACCGACUUACGUUGAAAAGUGAGCGGAUGAACUGAGGGUAGCGGAGAAAUUCCAAUCGAACCUGGAGAUAGCUGGUUCUCUCCGAAAUAGCUUUAGGGCUAGCCUCAAGUGAUGAUUAUUGGAGGUAGAGCACUGUUUGGACGAGGGGCCCCUCUCGGGUUACCGAAUUCAGACAAACUCCGAAUGCCAAUUAAUUUAACUUGGGAGUCAGAACAUGGGUGAUAAGGUCCGUGUUCGAAAGGGAAACAGCCCAGACCACCAGCUAAGGUCCCAAAAUAUAUGUUAAGUGGAAAAGGAUGUGGCGUUGCCCAGACAACUAGGAUGUUGGCUUAGAAGCAGCCAUCAUUUAAAGAGUGCGUAAUAGCUCACUAGUCGAGUGACACUGCGCCGAAAAUGUACCGGGGCUAAACAUAUUACCGAAGCUGUGGAUUGUCCUUUGGACAAUGGUAGGAGAGCGUUCUAAGGGCGUUGAAGCAUGAUCGUAAGGACAUGUGGAGCGCUUAGAAGUGAGAAUGCCGGUGUGAGUAGCGAAAGACGGGUGAGAAUCCCGUCCACCGAUUGACUAAGGUUUCCAGAGGAAGGCUCGUCCGCUCUGGGUUAGUCGGGUCCUAAGCUGAGGCCGACAGGCGUAGGCGAUGGAUAACAGGUUGAUAUUCCUGUACCACCUAUAAUCGUUUUAAUCGAUGGGGGGACGCAGUAGGAUAGGCGAAGCGUGCGAUUGGAUUGCACGUCUAAGCAGUAAGGCUGAGUAUUAGGCAAAUCCGGUACUCGUUAAGGCUGAGCUGUGAUGGGGAGAAGACAUUGWGUCUUCGAGUCGUUGAUUUCACACUGCCGAGAAAAGCCUCUAGAUAGAAAAUAGGUGCCCGUACCGCAAACCGACACAGGUAGUCAAGAUGAGAAUUCUAAGGUGAGCGAGCGAACUCUCGUUAAGGAACUCGGCAAAAUGACCCCGUAACUUCGGGAGAAGGGGUGCUCUUUAGGGUUAACGCCCAGAAGAGCCGCAGUGAAUAGGCCCAAGCGACUGUUUAUCAAAAACACAGGUCUCUGCUAAACCGUAAGGUGAUGUAUAGGGGCUGACGCCUGCCCGGUGCUGGAAGGUUAAGAGGAGUGGUUAGCUUCUGCGAAGCUACGAAUCGAAGCCCCAGUAAACGGCGGCCGUAACUAUAACGGUCCUAAGGUAGCGAAAUUCCUUGUCGGGUAAGUUCCGACCCGCACGAAAGGCGUAACGAUUUGGGCACUGUCUCAACGAGAGACUCGGUGAAAUCAUAGUACCUGUGAAGAUGCAGGUUACCCGCGACAGGACGGAAAGACCCCGUGGAGCUUUACUGUAGCCUGAUAUUGAAAUUCGGCACAGCUUGUACAGGAUAGGUAGGAGCCUUUGAAACGUGAGCGCUAGCUUACGUGGAGGCGCUGGUGGGAUACUACCCUAGCUGUGUUGGCUUUCUAACCCGCACCACUUAUCGUGGUGGGAGACAGUGUCAGGCGGGCAGUUUGACUGGGGCGGUCGCCUCCUAAAAGGUAACGGAGGCGCUCAAAGGUUCCCUCAGAAUGGUUGGAAAUCAUUCAUAGAGUGYAAAGGCAUAAGGGAGCUUGACUGCGAGACCUACAAGUCGAGCAGGGUCGAAAGACGGACUUAGUGAUCCGGUGGUUCCGCAUGGAAGGGCCAUCGCUCAACGGAUAAAAGCUACCCCGGGGAUAACAGGCUUAUCUCCCCCAAGAGUUCACAUCGACGGGGAGGUUUGGCACCUCGAUGUCGGCUCAUCGCAUCCUGGGGCUGUAGUCGGUCCCAAGGGUUGGGCUGUUCGCCCAUUAAAGCGGUACGCGAGCUGGGUUCAGAACGUCGUGAGACAGUUCGGUCCCUAUCCGUCGUGGGCGUAGGAAAUUUGAGAGGAGCUGUCCUUAGUACGAGAGGACCGGGAUGGACAUACCUCUGGUGUACCAGUUGUCGUGCCAACGGCAUAGCUGGGUAGCUAUGUGUGGACGGGAUAAGUGCUGAAAGCAUCUAAGCAUGAAGCCCCCCUCAAGAUGAGAUUUCCCAACUUCGGUUAUAAGAUCCCU